GAUGAACGCUGGCGGCGUGCCUAAUACAUGCCAGUCGAGCGGACAGAUGAGGAGCUUGCUCCUCUGACGUUAGCGGCGGACGGGUGAGUAACACGUGGAUAACCUACCUAUAAGACUGGGAUAACUUCGGGAAACCGGAGCUAAUACCGGAUAAUAUAUUGAACCGCAUGGUUCAAUAGUGAAAGACGGUUUUGCUUUCACUUAUAGAUGGAUCCGCGCCGCAUUAGCUAGUUGGUAAGGUAACGGCUUACCAAGGCAACGAUGCGUAGCCGACCUGAGAGGGUGAUCGGCCACACUGGAACUGAGACACGGUCCAGACUCCUACGGGAGGCAGCAGUAGGGAAUCUUCCGCAAUGGGCGAAAGCCUGACGGAGCAACGCCGCGUGAGUGAUGAAGGUCUUCGGAUCGUAAAACUCUGUUAUUAGGGAAGAACAAAUGUGUAAGUAACUAUGCACGUCUUGACGGUACCUAAUCAGAAAGCCACGGCUAACUACGUG
rnacentral:rRNA from 1 species